CCUCCUUUCUAAGGAAAUCGAAAAAUAUCAAAACAAUUAUUUUCGAUUUAAAAAAAACCGGUAAUGUGACCGUCCUCAUUUCUCUUCUUUUAAUGUCUCUGAGUAAAAAUAAUGUUAAGGGGCCGGUAGCUCAGGUGGUUAGAGCGCACCCCUGAUAAGGGUGAGGUCGGAAGUUCGAGUCUUCCUCGGCCCACCAAAAGUUUCGGGGGAUUAGCUCAGCUGGGAGAGCGCCUGAUUUGCAUUCAGGAGGUCAGCGGUUCGAUCCCGCUAUCCUCCACCAAUACAUAGAGACAUUCAGCUUUUCUAAAUUGUGAAUAUUAUUAUUAUCAAUAUCUAUAUCCGAUUGUUUUCAAAUAUUUUUUUGGAAACAAUCAAAACAAAAAUUUGAAUUUUACACAGAAAGUUUUUUUCUGUGCAUAAAUCAAGCGUUUAAGGGCGAUUGGCGGAUGCCUGGGCACUGUAAGACGAUGGAGGACGUGGUAUACUGCGAUAAGUUCCGGGGAGC
rnacentral:misc_RNA from 1 species